CAACAAUGGCCGCCGCCAAUGUCCCAGUCCCUGGAGAGGUCUCACCUCUCGGCGAGAUGCACUCAGGGCCUAUCAGGAGUUCCUCUCAUCCAGUUUUCAGUUCUGUUUCAGGGGUAAUUUUUCCACGAGAAGUUGUAAAUUGGCUGUGUCCGCGGGAGGAGGCAUCGUAGAAAGUGGUCACAGAGACAGUUUUCUGGGAUGGCAACUUCUCCACAUAAGGACUUUCUCCAAACCCACCUAAAAUGAUCAAAGAUUUAUCUAUAUUAAAUAAAAUUGA